ensembl:misc_RNA 7SK 7SK RNA
GGGUGUGAGGGCGAUCUGGCUGGGACAUCUGUCACCCCAUUGAUCGCCAGGGUGGAUUCGGCCGAUCUGGCUGGCUAGGCGGGUGUCCCCUUCCUCCCUCGCCGCUCCGUGUGCUUCCCUUCCGAAGCGGCGCGCUCAGCUGGGUGGAAGAGGAGGACCACCCCGGAUAGAGGAUAGAGGAAGACCGUUUCCUCUGCCAAGGCUAUACAGUAGCUGCGCUCCCCUGCUAGAACCUCCAAACAAGCUCUCGUGGUAUGGAGCGGGGAACGCUGUGGGCUUUGGUUGAUGUUUCUAGUUCUCAUUUGUCGGAUCCUAAAU